AUCGGGAUAUUUUAACGAUUUUUUUUGCCUUUCUGUUAACCCUUGAAAAUCGAGGUGAUUUACCUUAAAAAGUGCUGUGUCUUGAACGGGCUUUUGCUUUUAUCUAUCUUGAAAAUCGCGGGUGUUUUCCUUGAAAUUCGGACGAAGUCCUCAUGAGCGUAGCGAAUUUUAACUUUUUUAACUACAUGGAAAACCAGGGUGUUUUACCUUAAAAAGUGCUGUGUGCUGAAGGAGCCCACUGCUUUUCAGUUUACCCUUGAAAAUCGGGGUGUUUUACCUUAAAAAGUGCUGUUAUUUUAAACACAAAGUUAUCUCCAGAAGAAGUGGAAAAACAUGUGCAUAAAUUCUUAAAAUUUUUAAAGUAAUUUUUGCUCUUUUAGUACUUUUAUUAAAAUGCUUCGCAUGUAGAAGACAAAAUCUAGUUUCUAGUGUGUUAAUAAUUGGUUCUUAUCUCUAUCUAAGCCAAAAAUCGGUUUGUGUUGAGCCGUUGUGCUUUCAGUUGUCAGUGGUGUUAAAUACAUUAUUAAUCAUUCUCAUUUGCUAUCAUCAUCAAUCACAUUAAUAAUACAUUAAUAUAAGUACUACAUACAUUUCUUUCAAUUUCAUUUUAUUUUGUCCUUUCAAACAAGUAUAGGCAUUUAACAUUUAAUUAAGAAAUUCAUUAUCUCAUUUUCUUUAAGUCAGCACUUGUUAUCUAUUACAAACACUAUUAGAAUUUUGUUAUUCAUUUUCCUUUGUUUCACAACCGUGUUUAGACGCGUUCAUCCACAUACUGAGAGCUGUUCGUAUUUGUACUGUUUGUAUUUUAAAUUAAUAACAAACGAAAAAUCAGUUAUCGAAGACUCAAUUCCAUAACAGUUGAAAUUAUUCUAUUAAUUGCAUUUUUGUGUUUUUUAUUUUUAUGAAUUUGAGCCUCCUUUUAAAUCAACUCUUUUCUGUAUUUGCUUAUCAUUUCCGAUAGCACAAUGGAGCAAAAAUGUUUUGGGGUAAAAAAUUCACGCAUAGAAGAACUAAGAUUAUUUCAGUUGGCUAUUAAACACAGACGGUCAACAAUGUCGUUCAGUACAACUGCUAAAAUUUUCGCUGGUGAAGAGUUCGUUGAAAAAACAGUUACAGCGAGUCAACGAAAAAUAACAAUAAAACCAUCUGAUCGAAUACUUGAUAUUGAUAAUUUUGUGCUUCCCAGACAACCACCGUGUGUGUUAACAGAAGAGACAGCAAUAAAACUGCGUAUGACCGACUAUUUAAACAUUACAAUAAAAUUUUCGACCAUAGAAGAAAGAACAAAUUUCAUUAGAGCCUUGGGAGAUUUGAACCCUUUGGAAAGCUCAUGUGACUCUGACGACGACCAGCAGAAUGCAGCAAAUGGAAUACUUACGUUAAACAAAAAUGGAAUGAAUGGAUGAAUUUGUCGUUUAAUUUAAUUAUUAUAAUACAUACUUUAAAUUAAUGAAAUAAUAAUGUACUUUCUACUUUUUUGCACUAAAUUUAAUAAAUCCUUGAAAAAUUUGUAUUUUUAAAAAGUGUUCUGGAGGGGUUUACUAAUUACACCAAAUUCAAAACAGGGUAAAAUCUUUGAAAAAUGUUAAUUUUAAAAUAUACUUUUAAAACGGGGGUGUUGUCACGAUUUUUUUUGCUUUUCUGUUAACCCUUGAAAAUCUGGGGUGUUUUCUAUUUAUCCUUGAAAAUUGGGGUGUUUUUGUGCUUUUUUUAGAUUACCUUGAAAACCGGGCUAUUUUGCUUAAUAUUUUUACUUUUUUUAGAUUACCUUGAAAACCGGGCUAUUUUGCUUGAUAUUUUUUACUUUUUUUAACUACCUGGAAAAUCGGGGUGUUUUACCUUAAAAGUGGCUGUGUACUAUAAGGGCUCACUUAGUAGUCUGUUAGAAGAGCGGUGUUAUAAGUAAAAUCAAAUAAAAUCGUCUUUAAUGAAGGUUGUCAGUUUAUGUUAAUUUUGUUUGAAAAUAAAUAUUUUUUAUUUAAAUUUUAUAACGCCACAUGUUUCGUUCCUAUCAACUUUUAAAUAUUUCGUCUGAUAGGUUUACGAAGUGAUAAAUUCUUUCGCCGUUUCGGGACUUAAUUUGUUUUCCAGUUAUUCAAGCUUGUGGAAAAUUCACCCAAACGUAAUAAAAAGUUUCCAUGCAAAAUUAAAAUUUUCUUUCUGAAAUUUGGAAGCAACCUCAAAGUCACUUAAGCAUAAGUAUGUGAGAGCAUUGGGUUAUUUCUCCAGUAAAAAAAUACGAGAAGUACUGAUAAACUUUGGUUCUAUUGUCUUGAAUUCAUUCAAAAUUCCAAAUAUGAUCUAUAACAUUUUGUCGCAGUUGUGUUGAGGUGGAAGGGGAUAUUUUUCAACAUUCUUAUCUUUAAGUGUGAUUUAUUUUUCCAGCUGUUAUCUAGCGUCAAUUAUAUGUCUGUAUAAUUAUGUUACCGCACCGGUACUUAUAAUUUACUUGCUAAGUACUAUAAAUUACAAUUUUUUAAAAUUAGUUUGCAAAUAACGUGCCAUGUGGAGCAGUCACGCCAAUUACAUCAAUUUUAAUUAAAUAAAUAUUUUGAUUUGCUGUUAAUUAACUUUGUGUAGGUUAUAGGUGAGCAUAACUCUCAGUUUGCGUAAUCCUUGUUUACCUACACGUUGUAGUUUUUCCACGGCGGCGCUCUAAACCAUAUGUAACAAUAUCAGAAAUUUCCCAACUCUUAUCUCAAUUAAUUAAUUUAAUUCCCGUUUCCAAGAUAAGAAAUCCCUAUCUAAACGUUAAAAUGUG